rnacentral:tRNA from 1 species
CCUUCGAUAGCUCAGUUGGUAGAGCGGUGGACUGUAGUAUAUGAUUUGUGUAAAAAGAAAUCCAUAGGUCGCUGGUUCAAAUCCGGCUCGAAGGA